rnacentral:lncRNA from 1 species
AAAAAAAAAAGAAGAAGAAAAACGACCAUAAAAAAUUUGAGAAAACGAAAUAUAGUCGAUGGUUCGAAAGAAGCACUCACCAAAGGAAGAGCACUCAGUUGAAAAAAAAGAAAGAAAGAAUAUCAAAGAAAAACUGAGCAAUUGAAAAAGAAAAGAAUAAAACACAGUGAAAAGAAUAUUAACAUUGGCUCUGAACCCAAAACCACUUGUUUUCCUUUUUGUUUGUAUUUACCACACCAUAACCCAAGCCCCGUCACAACCCGAAAGACCUCAAAAAGUGUGUGUUAUGUGUAGUUGAUAUGAAAGG